AUUGAACGCUGGCGGCAGGCCUAACACAUGCAAGUCGAACGGUAACAGGAAGCAGCUUGCUGCUUCGCUGACGAGUGGCGGACGGGUGAGUAAUGUCUGGGAAGCUGCCUGAUGGAGGGGGAUAACUACUGGAAACGGUAGCUAAUACCGCAUAAUGUCGCAAGACCAAAGAGGGGGACCUUCGGGCCUCUUGCCAUCGGAUGUGCCCAGAUGGGAUUAGCUUGUUGGUGGGGUAACGGCUCACCAAGGCGACGAUCCCUAGCUGGUCUGAGAGGAUGACCAGCCACACUGGAACUGAGACACGGUCCAGACUCCUACGGGAGGCAGCAGUGGGGAAUAUUGCACAAUGGGCGCAAGCCUGAUGCAGCCAUGCCGCGUGUAUGAAGAAGGCCUUCGGGUUGUAAAGUACUUUCAGCGGGGAGGAAGGGAGUAAAGUUAAUACCUUUGCUCAUUGACGUUACCCGCAGAAGAAGCACCGGCUAACUCCGUGCCAGCAGCCGCGGUAAUACGGAGGGUGCAAGCGUUAAUCGGAAUUACUGGGCGUAAAGCGCACGCAGGCGGUUUGUUAAGUCAGAUGUGAAAUCCCCGGGCUCAACCUGGGAACUGCAUCUGAUACUGGCAAGCUUGAGUCUCGUAGAGGGGGGUAGAAUUCCAGGUGUAGCGGUGAAAUGCGUAGAGAUCUGGAGGAAUACCGGUGGCGAAGGCGGCCCCCUGGACGAAGACUGACGCUCAGGUGCGAAAGCGUGGGGAGCAAACAGGGUUAGAUACCCUGGUAGUCCACGCCGUAAACGAUGUCGACUUGGAGGUUGUGCCCUUGAGGCGUGGCUUCCGGAGCUAACGCGUUAAGUCGACCGCCUGGGGAGUACGGCCGCAAGGUUAAAACUCAAAUGAAUUGACGGGGGCCCGCACAAGCGGUGGAGCAUGUGGUUUAAUUCGAUGCAACGCGAAGAACCUUACCUGGUCUUGACAUCCACGGAAGUUUUCAGAGAUGAGAAUGUGCCUUCGGGAACCGUGAGACAGGUGCUGCAUGGCUGUCGUCAGCUCGUGUUGUGAAAUGUUGGGUUAAGUCCCGCAACGAGCGCAACCCUUAUCCUUUGUUGCCAGCGGUCCGGCCGGGAACUCAAAGGAGACUGCCAGUGAUAAACUGGAGGAAGGUGGGGAUGACGUCAAGUCGUCAUGGCCCUUACGACCAGGGCUACACACGUGCUACAAUGGCGCAUACAAAGAGAAGCGACCUCGCGAGAGCAAGCGGACCUCAUAAAGUGCGUCGUAGUCCGGAUUGGAGUCUGCAACUCGACUCCAUGAAGUCGGAAUCGCUAGUAAUCGUGGAUCAGAAUGCCACGGUGAAUACGUUCCCGGGCCU
rnacentral:rRNA from 1 species